GCCCUUUCAACUGCAAUGAGUUCAUGACAUGAAACCAACUACUCUACAUGACUGUGCAACAAAGAUGAAAAAAAAUCCCCUUUGUCGUCCAAUACGCUAUUUGUUUUUCCAUAAAGAAACCAUUGAUGCACAACUUCUGCAACACAGAAAGUGUUUGAAGCCAUAAAAACCCGAAUGAACAAAUUAGAUAAUGUGAUAACUUUCAAUGGACUAAUGUAUAUAUACACAUUAUCUUUUAUUGGGUCGAUUAAGCAUACUGUAACCUGCAUGGACUACAGAGGAAAACCAUACAAGAAAUCAGUUACGAGGGAGAGAAUAGUAUAUCUACAACCUAUGAGGCAUGCAGCUUUCCUUUUGUGCCAGCUUUCCUUUUGUGCAUCUGCUCAGCAAAGCACAGCCAAGAGAUAUUAACAGAUUUGUUUGAAGAUGGUAACAGCAGCAAUGAAGUAACAAUUGUCACGAAAUGGUUGCAAAGCUAACCCUCCGGCAGAUGCCAAGAGAACCAGCUUUCCUAUGUGCAGGAUGGUCUUUAAGUCACAAUCUACGUGAACAUACCCACAAAUAUUUUGGAUUUUCAACCUGCAGCCAUUCAACUACCACUGCAAGAUUCUAAUCGUGCAAGAGAACAUACAAAUAUACCCCAGUUUUC